GAUCCUGGCUCAGGACGAACGCUGGCGGCGUGCUUAACACAUGCAAGUCGAACGAGAAUCACUGGAAGGAGUUUUCGGACAACGGAAGGUGAGGACAGUGGCGGACGGGUGAGUAACGCGUGAGGAACCUGCCUUUCAGAGGGGGACAACAGUUGGAAACGACUGCUAAUACCGCAUGACACAUAGAGAUCGCAUGGUUUUUAUGUCAAAGAUUUAUCGCUGAAAGAUGGCCUCGCGUCUGAUUAGCUGGUUGGUGAGGUAACGGCCCACCAAGGCGACGAUCAGUAGCCGGACUGAGAGGUUGACCGGCCACAUUGGGACUGAGAUACGGCCCAGACUCCUACGGGAGGCAGCAGUGGGGAAUAUUGGGCAAUGGGCGCAAGCCUGACCCAGCAACGCCGCGUGAAGGAAGAAGGCUUUCGGGUUGUAAACUUCUUUUAAGAGGGAAGAGCAGAAGACGGUACCUCUAGAAUAAGCCACGGCUAACUACGUGCCAGCAGCCGCGGUAAUACGUAGGUGGCAAGCGUUGUCCGGAUUUACUGGGUGUAAAGGGCGUGUAGCCGGGAAGGCAAGUCAGAUGUGAAAUCCACGGGCUUAACUCGUGAACUGCAUUUGAAACUACUUUUCUUGAGUAUCGGAGAGGCAAUCGGAAUUCCUAGUGUAGCGGUGAAAUGCGUAGAUAUUAGGAGGAACACCAGUGGCGAAGGCGGAUUGCUGGACGACAACUGACGGUGAGGCGCGAAAGCGUGGGGAGCAAACAGGAUUAGAUACCCUGGUAGUCCACGCUGUAAACGAUGAAUACUAGGUGUGCGGGGACUGACCCCCUGCGUGCCGCAGUUAACACAAUAAGUAUUCCACCUGGGGAGUACGAUCGCAAGGUUGAAACUCAAAGGAAUUGACGGGGGCCCGCACAAGCGGUGGAUUAUGUGGUUUAAUUCGAAGCAACGCGAAGAACCUUACCAGGGUUUGACAUCCUGCUAACGAAGUAGAGAUACAUUAGGUGCCCUUCGGGGAAAGCAGAGACAGGUGGUGCAUGGUUGUCGUCAGCUCGUGUCGUGAGAUGUUGGGUU
rnacentral:rRNA from 1 species